CCAAUUGUUUUGCCGACGCUUAUCGUUCAGAUACGAGCCGUGUAGCAUCCAACAGUUGUGCAUCGUGAAGUCCUCAUCUAUUGCGCAACUCCUCGUUUUCCAAUCGCGGGUCCGACGUCCAUCUUUAUUGUAGUGCAUAUCUGUUUUGCACGCAUCAGUUUCAUUCGAUUGUCGCUGAUUCUGUUCUGUCGUCAAUCGUCAAAGCUAUGUUGUGAUUUCAUUGGUGAUAUUGGAGAGCUGUGCUUGGAUAUUUAAGUUUCGAAGUGAACUUCAUUGGAAUUGUUGCCUCAUUCUACUUGGAAUUUAAUUUAUUGGAUUUAGUACGAUUGAAGAACUUUACGUAAACUCGAGGUAAGGGA